rnacentral:rRNA from 1 species
AGUGAACGCUGGCGGCAGGCCUAACACAUGCAAGUCGAGCGGCAGCGCGUCCGACCACCCUCGGGUGGUCGGAUGGCGGCGAGCGGCGGACGGGUGAGGAAUGCAUCGGAAUCUGCCUCGUUGUGGGGGAUAACGUAGGGAAACUUACGCUAAUACCGCAUACGACCUACGGGUGAAAGUGGGGGACCUUCGGGCCGUCACGCGAUGAGAUGAGCCGAUGCCGGAUUAGCUAGUUGGCGGGGUAAAGGGCCCACCAAGGCGACGAUCCGUAGCUGGUCUGAGAGGAUGAUCAGCCACACUGGAACUGAGACACGGUCCAGACUCCUACGGGAGGCAGCAGUGGGGAAUAUUGGACAAUGGGGGCGAACCCUGAUCCAGCCAUGCCGCGUGUGUGAAGAAGGCCUCGGUUGUAAG